AGCACUGGUGAGGUUCUGCAGGUGGCGGGAUGGAACCUGGCCUCCCCUUGCCUGGGCUCCCGUGCAGGUCAGCAAGGCCCUGGGCAGAGGCGGUCCUGUGUCUGGCAUGAACUCUGCUUGGGGCCUGCUUGUGGCAGUUGGUCCCAAGCUUACCUUGAGCCAGGCUUUUGAGCCAGUCAGGAAGACUGAUCUUUGCUGGGGCUGAACUUUGGUAACUGUCUGACAGUGGGCGGAGUCAGUCAUGGGCGGAGGCUGAGCUUGAAUGCCAGCCUCAUGGUGCCUGGAUGGAUUUGGCUAACCUGGACUGGGGCUCUGUCUCCUGACAGGUCGUAGAGUUAGAUCUCUGGUCAGGAUCUGCAGGUGGUGGGUUGGAGCUCUGCCUCCCCUUGACCUGGCUCUUGUGAAGGUCAACGGGGUGAUCUGGGCCAUUUAUGAGCUCCUGCAGGGGUCAACCUGUGGGUGGAGGCAGUCCUGGGCUGAGCCUGAGCUCCAGCAGGGGUCAAACAGUGGAGGAAUGGAACAUGGCUAUACUUGCCCGGGCUCUCAUGCAGGUGUUCCAGGUGGACCUGGGCUUGGACUGAGCUCUGAGCUCUGGAGAGUGUCUUGCCUGUUGGUGGAGUCAGUCAUGGGUGGAACCUGAGCUCAGGUGGAAGUCUGUUCCCAGGGCUACCCUGUCUUGGGCUCCUGCGCACAUCUGCAAGGCUUAUCUGGUCAGAGCCUGAGAUCCACUGGGUAGUGGGGGUCAGUCAGUGGCUGGAUGGAAGAGAGCCUACCUUUGCCAGAGCUCCUGAGCAGGUCAACGUGAUGGUUCUGGGCCUCAUAUGAGCUUAGGCAGGGGUCUGCCUGUGGAUGGAGGUGGUGCUGUGUCUGGCCUGAGCUCUGCUCUGGGCCUGAUUGUGGUAGUUGGUCCCAGGCCUACCUUGGGCCAGGCUCCGGCGCCUGUCAGCAAGACUUAUCUGG
rnacentral:lncRNA from 1 species